CUACGGGAGGCUCCAGUGAGGAAUAUUGCACAAUGGAGGAAACUCUGAUGCAGCAACGCCGCGUGGAGGAUGACGCAUUUCGGUGUGUAAACUCCUUUUAUGAGUCGAGAAAAUGACGGUAGCUCAUGAAUAAGCACCGGCUAACUCCGUGCCAGCAGCCGCGGUAAUACGGAGGGUGCAAGCGUUACUCGGAAUCACUGGGCGUAAAGGACGCGUAGGCGGGAUAUCAAGUCAGGUGCGAAAUCCUACAGCUUAACUGUAGAACUGCACUUGAAACUGGUAACCUAGAGUAUGGGAGGGGGAGAUGGAAUUAGUGGUGUAGGGGUAAAAUCCGUAGAUAUCACUAGGAAUACCUAAAGCGAAGGCGAUCUCCUGGAACAUAACUGACGCUAAGGCGUGAAAGCGUGGGGAGCAAACAGGAUUAGAUACCCGCGUAGUC
rnacentral:rRNA from 1 species